rnacentral:rRNA from 1 species
UACUAGAGUAGCACUCGCAUAUCAAUAAGCGGAGGAAAAGUAACUAACAAGGAUUCCCCUAGUAACGGCGAGUGAAGGCGGGAGGAGCUCAAAUUUGAAAUCUUCAAGGUUCUACCUUGACGAAUUGUAGUUUAUAGAAGUGUUUUCUGUUAGUAGAGGUGGCUAAAAGUUCUUUGGAAUAGGACAUCAUAGAGGGUGAGAAUCCCGUAUUUGAUCACUUCUUUACUAACGUUGUGAUACACUUUCAACGAGUCGGAUUGUUUGGGAAUGCAGUCCAAAAUGGGUGGUAAAUUUCAUCUAAAGCUAAAUAUUGGCGAGAGACCGAUAGCGAACAAGUACCGUGAGGGAAAGAUGAAAAGAACUUUGAAAAGAGAGUUAACCAGUACGUGAAAUUGUCAAAAGGGAAGCGUUUAACACCAGUGUUGUUUUUCCGAAAAUCAAUUACGAAUGUUUUGUUUUUAAGAAGUUAUGACUUCAUCGGCUUGCUUCUUUCUUUACGAAACUUUCUUAAUGCACUUUUCGGUUAACAAGUCAACAUCAAUUUCUUUUGUUGUAAAAGGGUAUGAGGAAGGUGGCUUUCUUUUCGGAGAAAGUGUUUAUAGCCUUGUAGCCUCUGCAAUCGGAGAGAUUGAGGUCUGCAGCGUAGAUCCUUCGGGGUUAGAUACAUUUGUGCUAAGUUAUAGCUUUUCAUAGACAACAUGUUGACUAUGUUAGUCAUGUAGCUUACUCGCUAGUGCUAUUUUACCUACGCUUAGGAUGUUGAAGAUGUAGCACAUCAU